GGCUCGGUGGUGGGUGGCCCACAUCUGCAUUUGAUACCCCAGUUCCCAAACAUUUAGAGCAGAGGAGCCCGUUCGAUUCGGGCCUGAGCCG